CAGCUACGAACUUUGUUUUCGGACAGCCUAGCAAGAUGGCAACACAGAGCACUGUUGUCAGGAUACCAGAAAGCAGAAUAACGUAACGUUCGACUUCAGCAAAUAGAAUUUCGGACGUUGAAGGCAGCAUGAAGGAUACGUGUAUGCUACCUUCACAAUUC